rnacentral:misc_RNA from 1 species
UCCGGGACCACCAAGCGGAAAUACCAG